rnacentral:rRNA from 1 species
GGCGGCAGGCCUAACACAUGCAAGUCGAGCGGUAGCACAGAGAGCUUGCUCUCGGGUGACGAGCGGCGGACGGGUGAGUAAUGUCUGGGAAACUGCCUGAUGGAGGGGGAUAACUACUGGAAACGGUAGCUAAUACCGCAUAAUGUCGCAAGACCAAAGUGGGGGACCUUCGGGCCUCAUGCCAUCAGAUGUGCCCAGAUGGGAUUAGCUAGUAGGUGGGGUAACGGCUCACCUAGGCGACGAUCCCUAGCUGGUCUGAGAGGAUGACCAGCCACACUGGAACUGAGACACGGUCCAGACUCCUACGGGAGGCAGCAGUGGGGAAUAUUGCACAAUGGGCGCAAGCCUGAUGCAGCCAUGCCGCGUGUGUGAAGAAGGCCUUCGGGUUGUAAAGCACUUUCAGCGGGGAGGAAGGCGGUGAGGUUAAUAACCUCACCGAUUGACGUUACCCGCAGAAGAAGCACCGGCUAACUCCGUGCCAGCAGCCGCGGUAAUACGGAGGGUGCAAGCGUUAAUCGGAAUUACUGGGCGUAAAGCGCACGCAGGCGGUCUGUCAAGUCGGAUGUGAAAUCCCCGGGCUCAACCUGGGAACUGCAUUCAAAACUGGCAGGCUAGAGUCUUGUAGAGGGGGGUAGAAUUCCAGGUGUAGCGGUGAAAUGCGUAGAGAUCUGGAGGAAUACCCGGUGGCGAAGGCGGCCCUCUGGACAAAGACUGACGCUCAGGUGCGAAAGCGUGGGGAGCAAACAGGAUUAGAUACCCUGGUAGUCCACGCCGUAAACGAUGUCGAUUUGGAGGUUGUGCCCUUGAGGCGUGGCUUCCGGAGCUAACGCGUUAAAUCGACCGCCUGGGGAGUACGGCCGCAAGGUUAAAACUCAAAUGAAUUGACGGGGGCCCGCACAAGCGGUGGAGCAUGUGGUUUAAUUCGAUGCAACGCGAAGAACCUUACCUGGUCUUGACAUCCACAGAACUUUCCAGAGAUGGAUUGGUGCCUUCGGGAACUGUGAGACAGGUGCUGCAUGGCUGUCGUCAGCUCGUGUUGUGAAAUGUUGGGUUAAGUCCCGCAACGAGCGCAACCCUUAUCCUUUGUUGCCAGCGGUUCGGCCGGGAACUCAAAGGAGACUGCCAGUGAUAAACUGGAGGAAGGUGGGGAUGACGUCAAGUCAUCAUGGCCCUUACGACCAGGGCUACACACGUGCUACAAUGGCAUAUACAAAGAGAAGCGACCUCGCGAGAGCAAGCGGACCUCAUAAAGUAUGUCGUAGUCCGGAUUGGAGUCUGCAACUCGACUCCAUGAAGUCGGAAUCGCUAGUAAUCGUAGAUCAGAAUGCUACGGUGAAUACGUUCCCGGGCCUUGUACACACCGCCCGUCACACCAUGGGAGUGGGUUGCAAAAGAAGUAGGUAGCUUAACCUUCGGGAGGGCGCUUACCACUUUGUGAUUCAUGACUGGGGUGAA